AAGUGUGUGAAUUGGACCAUUUUCCUGUCUGGCUAAGCAUUUGAAAUGCAACAAGUACUUUUGGGUGUCAGGGAAACUGUAUGGAGUAAAAAAAAUACAUUAUUUUCUUUAGAAAUGAAGUCAACUUAAAAAUUGUAAAGAAAUAGAAAGAGUAAAAGUACAGAUACACAAAAAACUGACUUCAGUAGUACUUUCAAGUGUUUUUACAUCAUGGAAAGUGUAUGGAGUAAAAAGUACAAUGUACGUUUCUGUAGUACGAGUAGGCUGGUUUAUACAGUAUCAUAGGAAACAAUUGACUACAAGCCACCUAGCUAAUUAACAUACUGGGGCUAGCGGCCAUUAGUUACAUUUCAACCAUAGCGAUAGCCUAAUUGAGGCGCAACAGAGUUCACCCGCGAAUGCGAAUGCGGAACACCAGAAAUAAUAACUAAACCAAGGAAUGAGAAAUGGUGGAGCCUACCAGAAUGAAGAGAGACAUUUUCCCGAAAUAAACGUGAUCUGAUUGAUGCUGUAAAUGUGUCGGGAAAAGAGGGAAUGAAAGUAACUUUACCAACUGGACUUAAUGACCUACCUAGUGGCACUAUUAUGGCAUGGUCUUUCCCAUUGAGUCGUUCAGAUUCAUUUGAUAACAUAGCGCUGCUGAAUGCAGGUGUGAUUACAACGGACUACAGUAGGAAGUUCAAAGACAGACUGAAGCUGGAUACUCAGACUGGAUCUCUCACCAUCAGAAACCUCAGCAUCAGCGACUCUGGACUUUACAAAAUACUUAUCAUCAAUACACAGAGUUCAUCUAAGAUUACAAAUCUAACUGUCUAUGCCUCAGUGUCUGCUCCUCACAUCAGUCACUCAGUGGACAGUCCAUUUGAAAAAGUGAGCUGUUCCUUGGUGUGCACUGUGAAGAACGGGAGAGAGGUGAUCUUGUCCUGGUACAGAGGAGGGGAGAUACUCAACCAGACCAGCAGCCCUGAUCUUCUCGCCAAUCUCUCUCUCCCUCUGGAGUUAAACAAAAGAAAUGUUGACACCUACAGCUGUGAGGCUUCCAACCCUGCUGACUCAAAACCAACUCCGCUCAACAUUGAAAUGCUCUGCCCUCAAUUGUCCUCACGCUCUGCCCUCAAAGGGUCUGGUCGCAAUCCUGUCCCAAUCGCACUGGUCACAUUGCUAUCAGUUGGGAUAAUAAGUGGUGGUAUAUUCUGGGCAGUUAAAAUAAUCAAAUGUGGAGCCUGCAAGCAAAGAGAAGAAGAAGGAUCCUGAUGUGAACUUUCAGAGAUUGACAGGACUGGAUUCAAUCACUCCUCUCUCAAAGCUGUGACCUUGGCGUGGUUUAGAGGCUUGUGUGUCUCAAUGACCCUGAGAGCUACGCCGGAGGGGGCUUGGGCCCCUGGUAGGUUUAGCCAUUCCGGAUUGGUCUUAGGUCAGGGGCCAGACCAACGACAGCAUUGGUCCUACAUGUUUCACGUUGGGAUGGUGCUAUAGGUUGGCAACCAUAACACUCUGACAAUGUUAAAUACUGUUUAUGUCUUUACUGUCAUUUUAAACAUGUCUUUUUCAUAGUAUUGUACCUUUUACUUUACAAGAAAUAUGCUUGAUAAAAAUGCAAUUUAAUUGUUGUUGUUUAAGUCUUAACAUUUGUCAACCACAAAGUUGACCUGGUCCUUGUGCUCCAGCUCAGCAAAUUACAUUUCCACCCCAAAAAAACACAAAGAAAAGCCAUAAAGAUUUUAUACCGAUCUCACAUUUAUACCUUUCAUUGCCACUAUUGUAUAAUUGAGUGUCAUUUCACAUACAAAUAGCACCGCUAUUUAUUUGUCUGUUGCAUAAUGUGUAUGUCUUUAGUGUUAUUUUAGAUGUGUACUUUUUCAUUGUGGUGUACUUUACUUGGUAAAAAUAUUAUAUUAUUGUUAUUUAGGUCAUAACAUUUGUCUGAAAACCAGGAUUAGUAGUAUUUAAACAAGCAAAUUAGUUAUAUCAUGGCACCACAUCCACUCCCUGAAACAGUUUUACCAUUUAUUUUCAAAAUGCUUGUAACCGACUUCCCAAACCUGCUGAUCUCAUGGGCAUGUUUAAACUUGUGGAGAAUGUUUUCACGAAGGUUUGUCCUACCUGUAUCUCCGCUCUAGAGAGUCUCUGUUAUGUUCUCCACUAUUUACCAAAUGACAUUAAAGCCUGAUAGGAAGG